CGUGUAGGCGGUCAAGUAAGUCGAAGGUGAAAUUUCUACGGCUCAACCGAGAAACUGCCUUCGAAACUGCUGGACUUGAGUACGGUAGAGGUGAGUAGAAUUCCCAGUGUAGCGGUGAAAUGCGUAGAUAUUGGGAGGAAUACCGGUGGCGAAGGCGGCUCACUGGACCGUUACUGACGCUGAGACGCGAAGGCGUGGGGAGCGAACAGGAUUAGAUACCCUGGUAGUCC
rnacentral:rRNA from 1 species